GGGUAUUUAAAUCAAAGUCGGCAGAAAUUGCUUGUACUGGAUUUAAUUCUCCUAUUUUUCAGUAGUGGGUAAUCUUCCUUUAUUGGUUGAUUAUUUUUUCCGCUCUGAAUCGUUUACUUUGAAAAAAUUAGAGUGUUCAAAGCAGGCGUAACCUAGCCUUGAAUAUAUUAGCAUGGGAUAAUAGAAUAUGACUUUGGUCUUAUUUUGUUGGUUUCUAAGGCUGAAGUA
rnacentral:rRNA from 1 species